UACGUAGGGUGCGAGCGUUGCCCGGAUUUAUUGGGCGUAAAGCGCGCGUAGGUGGCUUCGUAAGUCCGUUGUGAAAGUCAAAGGCUCAACCUUUGAAAGCCGAUGGAUACUGCGGAGCUAGAGUACGGAAGAGGCGAGUGGAAUUCCUGGUGUAGCGGUGGAAUGCGCAGAUAUCAGGAGGAACACCAAUAGCGAAGGCAGCUCGCUGGGACGUUACUGACACUGAGGCGCGAAAGCGUGGGGAGCGAACAGG
rnacentral:rRNA from 1 species